rnacentral:misc_RNA from 1 species
CACCCUCAAGCGCCGCUUGGUGUUGGGCCCUGCCUACGCGGCCGGCCCCAAGGUCAGUGGCGGCGUCCCGGGCCCCUAAGCAUGGUACGCAACUCUUGCUCCAGGGCCCCGCGGCGCCUGCCAGAACCCAUCGACCCCUAC